rnacentral:misc_RNA from 1 species
GAUGAAGAACGCAGCGAAAUGCGAUACGUAAUGUGAAUUGCAGAAUUCAGUGAAUCAUCGAGUCUUUGAACGCACAUUGCGCCCCCUGGUAUUCCGGGGGGCACGCCUGUCCGAGCGUCAUUGCUGCCCUCAAGCACGGCUUGUGUGUUGGGCCUCCGUCCUCCUCCCGGGGGACGGGCCCGAAAGGCAGCGGCGGCACCGCGUCCGGUCCUCGAGCGUAUGGGGCUUCGUCACCCGCUCUUGUAGGCCCGGCCGGCGCUUGCCGACACAUCAAUCUUUUUUCCAGGUUGACCUCGGAUCAGGUAGGGAUACCCGCUGAACUUAAGCAUAUCAAUAAGCGGAGGA